rnacentral:rRNA from 1 species
CGUACGGCUCCGUAACACGUAGUUAAUCUGCCCUCGGGACAAGAAUAACCCUGGGAAACUGGGGCUAAUUCUCGAUAGGCGCAGUGGCCUGGAAUGGUACUGCACCCAAAGGGUUUCAGGAACAUGCUCCUGAAUUCGCCCGAGGAUGAGACUGCGGCCGAUCAGGCUGUUGGUGGGGUAACGGCCUACCAAACCUAUAACCGGUGCGGGCCGUGGGAGCGGGAGCCCGGAGAUGGGCACUGAGACAAGGGCCCAGGCCCUACGGGGCGCAGCAGUCGCGAAAACUUUGCAAUAAGCGAAAGCUUGACAGGGCUAUCCCGAGUGCCAUCCGCUGAGGAAGGCUUUUACCCAGUCUAGAACGCUGGGGGAAUAAGGAGAGGGCAAGUCUGGUGUCAGCCGCCGCGGUAAUACCAGCUCUUCGAGUGGUGUGGAUGUUUAUUGGGCCUAAAGCAUCCGUAGCUGGCUAGGUUAGUCCCCUGUUAAAUCCACCGAAUUAAUCGUUGGAUUGCGGGGGAUACUGCUUGGCUAGGGGACGAGAGAGGCAGACGGUAUUUCCGGGGUAGGGGUGAAAUCCUAUAAUCCCGGGAAGACCACCAGUGGCGAAGGCUGUCUGCUAGAACGCGCCCGACGGUGAGGGAUGAAAGCUGGGGGAGCGAACC